CUAUUUUUCCACAGAAUAGUUGACUGCAAUGCACAAGCUGGCAAGUUUUCCACCUUACCUUACCAGCUUACUUCAGUGUCCCAUCUUGGGAAAAUCAGCUAAGGCUAGAAGAUAAGUACAGAAGAAGAUCAGGUAAGACAAACAGUACAGAAAUCUCUGUCAAGGAUCAAGACUCCAGUAAACUAAAUGCUGAACCUGAAAUCACUUAAACAAACAAAAAGGCCCUGUGUACAUUUAGUUUUUAUGCUAGAGGUCUCAGCUCACAGCUGCCAAUGGAAGAGCCAAGAGCGGCUAAAAAUCUAGGAGCUAAGAGGUGUCUUACCCUAGGAUGGUCAUCACACCUCUUUAGUAAUGCAACUCGUCUGUGGAGAGCAAGGCAUCCUUCGAAGCGAUCUACACUCAACAGGAGAUGGAGGACUGCGACGGUAACCCUGGACUCUUGAUGCUGUCUUCUCCCCUCCCCCCACCAUCUUUAAAGAUAUUUAUCUCAACGUGAUUCUUUUUUCUUUUUUAAUCAUUGCUGUUCCAGCAGCCCCAAGAGCAUUGAGCAAUGUGGAAAUGCCACUCAGUGAAUCAUAUGGUGCGUUUAGCCAAGCUGCUUAGUAAACUCCAUGGCUUCCACAUAAGGUCUUUCCAUUAUCCUGGGAUUGUUCUCACGCUAUACAAGCGGUAAACUUAAAGUCACAUCUGCUUUGCUGACCUUGCCUGAAGACUGAACAUUGUUUGCGUGUUCUCUGAAUUGGAACACGCUGUGUAGCUCCUGCGCUGAAGCGGGAAGGAAAUAUUUUUCUCUAUUUCCUGUGUCCUGUAUGAACUUUUCCAUUGUAAAAUGUGUGCUAUGAUUUUUUUUUUAAAAUAAAUUGACAGGAAAUCAAUAUUUUUCACCAGAUACACUGGUUUAAAAUUCACCCCAAGGAACAAUGUGAUUUUCAGUUGGUACGGGAACUUUAAUAAAAAAGCAAAUCAAUGGAUAAUGGA